rnacentral:lncRNA from 1 species
AUCAAUUAUGACCCGCAACUUAAUUUAAUUUACUUAAUAUUAACAAACAUUGACGUAAAAUUGAUGUGACAUUUUAAUUAUUGCCGUGUCAUCAACUAUCAUGAGCAACUAUACUCUUAUCAUAAUAGAGGCCAUUAUGAAGAUGGAGUUUUCGAAUUGACAAUUCAUAUCAUUAAAUAUGAUUUACACUAUUUAAAGUUCCAUCUAAAUAGGUAUAUGAACGGUCAAAAUUGAAUGAUUUUCUAAAUAUAUGAGAUAGGUUUUUUAAUUUAAGAUCAAAGUUAUUGGACUUGAUCUAUAUAGUGAAUAAAAUUUUUUAUUAAAAAUUUAAUCGAUUCUAUUUUUUUUUUUCACCGAUAAAUGCUCCGUACUAGUCAUUAAAAUAUCAAUGUAAGUCCCUUGAUUGUAAGCAAUAUGGUGUCAAAAUAUUAUGAAAUUCAGAUAUCGUUUAAAUACUCCAAAUUUUAUUUAACGAUAUGAAUUGUUAAUUCAAAAAUUUUAUUAUCGAAAACGACUUAUAAAUACAAAGAUUAUCAUCCUCAUUAUAUAAUAGUCGGACUAAAUAUAUAAAAUGAGAUUAAUAUGCUUUUAGAAGCACAAUGGUUUCCAUGAUCCAGUUUGUUUUCAAUCACAGAAAGUCCAAAUCGAUAAUUGGUUCUAUUAAACUUGAUUUACAUAUUUUAAAUAUUUAGAAACUAAUUUUCGUAAUUUUUUCAAUACCAUUUAUGUGAUGAUCGAAAAGUCUCAAAAUUUAAUUAUAUUAAUGGUUGAUAUGAGACUAUCGCAAGUUUAAAGAUGCAAUAAUAUCAAAUUGGGUCAAAUUUUGGUGGAAUUGUCUAUUUGCUGUGUAAAGUAAACUUGGAUGAUAUUGAAAAAUUAUGAAAUUUGACUUUUUGAUAAUUCAAAUUAAUAGCAUUGAUCAAGUUUAAUAAAGCUAAUUGUCAUUUCAGAUUCUCGUGAUUGAAAGUAAAGUGAAAGCACGAAGCCUUUAUGCUUCUAAAAACAUAGUAACCUCUCUCUCUCUCUCUUUUUCUUUCUAUAUAUAUAUAUAUAUAGAGAGAGAGAGAGAGUAUGUAUAUUCAGCUGGGAUAUAAUUAAUAGUGCAUGAAUAGUAUUUAUUAUCAACUUUUUACUUAAUUUUGAUUAUUACUAUUCCAUCUAACCCUACCAAAUUUUAGGCAUCAAAUAAAAAAAUGUUAGUAAAUACUAUUUCUCUACUUUCAAACAUAUUUUAACUCAAAUA